AUUGAACGCUGGCGGCAUGCCUUACACAUGCAAGUCGAACGGUAACAGGUUAAGCUGACGAGUGGCGAACGGGUGAGUAAUGUAUCGGAACGUGCCCAGUCGUGGGGGAUAACUACUCGAAAGAGUGGCUAAUACCGCAUACGACCUGAGGGUGAAAGCGGGGGACCGUAAGGCCUCGCGCGAUUGGAGCGGCCGACAUCAGAUUAGCUAGUUGGUGGGGUAAAAGCCCACCAAGGCGACGAUCUGUAGCUGGUCUGAGAGGACGACCAGCCACACUGGGACUGAGACACGGCCCAGACUCCUACGGGAGGCAGCAGUGGGGAAUAUUGGACAAUGGGGGGAACCCUGAUCCAGCCAUGCCGCGUGUGUGAAGAAGGCCUUAUGGUUGUAAAGCACUUUAAGCGAGGAGGAGGCUACUGAGACUAAUACUCUUGGAUAGUGGACGUUACUCGCAGAAUAAGCACCGGCUAACUCUGUGCCAGCAGCCGCCGCGGUAA
rnacentral:rRNA from 1 species